GAAAAUGAGUGCAGCACAAUGUGCGUGUGGGGACAGACAUCUCUAGUGGAGCAGGUUAAAAUGAGAAUAUAGUCAAAACAAAAACACUUUGGGCUGUUUGAGAACAAGGAGGCACUUUCCUAGUUGCAAUGCCCUAGCCAUGGUGACGAAAGCUCUUUGGCUCCGUAGCCACUGGGCCUGCCCUGACGCUGCAGCCAGAGGCAACCUCAUCCGUUGAUGAAAUCAUGAUGAGAAGUCCCUCGCUGGAUGCCCACCUGGCAGAAAUUGACCACGUCCUAUCCUAUCAACUUGCAACCGCCGGGGCCAAAAUCUCCCUCCUCAAGGGAAAUUGGUGCCGUCAAUUAUGUCGGCCUCCUGAUUGCCCGAAUGGCAUCGAACCCCAAUCCGGCCGUAUUCAGGGCCCCCCACUAAUGUUUCCAAACUUCGCAGUUUUAUUGGUGUGUGUAAUUAUUCCCGGCAGUUCGUCGAACACUUCGCGGAUAUCGCGCGCCCCUAACCGAACUCCUGAAAAAGGACACUCCUUUAGUUUGGGGUGACGAGUAAGAAGCCGCGAUGCAGUCCCUAAAAGAGCGGCUAUGCUCUGCCCCAUGUCUUGUCUAUCCUGACAGCAAGAGACAAUUCUUCCUCGAAGCAGGGUUUUCGGACCAUUGCCUUAGCGGUAGUCUUUACCAAAUGUACAACCAAGACGAGCGCGUCGUUGCCUAUGCGAGCUUAAAUACUCGGACUGUAAUAAGGCCCUGCUCUCCACAGUCAUCAAACAUCAAACUACAUUGGAGGCCAAAAAGUGACCAUUGGCACAAACCGCCAUCCGGUUACCUUCCUUCACAACCAACGCAUCAGAGAAGGGACCUUAACCUUAGCGGUAAAACACAAAACCACCUCCUUGGUUAUCUGUACCGACUCAAACUACACACGUCUCGCAUUCACCUGCCACUUACUGACGUGGGAACGUAAUGGGUUACUCACGUUGGAGAGAAAACCGGUCAAACACCGCGAUCGUUACAUGCGACCAUCUAGUUAAUUCAAACAACAUGCACGUCUAUUGGAAGAAAGUCGGAGGUCACGCUCCUAUUGCGGGACCGGAUAAGGUUUUUAAAUAGACUUGACUGACUCUCUGGCGAUUCAAGGCGCCCUUCAUGGUACCCCAUGGCAGUUUGACGCCUCAUGGCUUCCAACCCCUAUCAACCCAUCGGUGUCUGUAAUCAUGCGCUGUCAAACCCCCUCCGCCGCACCUGCCAUCGCUCGGCCGCAUGAUGAGACUUCGUAUGACUCCGUCAACCCAAUGCUUUGCGCCUCUGCGCCUCUGCGACUCGUGACUUUGACUUGACCCCUGUUAAAUAUAUUCUAGAAGUUAUCAUUUAUUUGCUUAGCUUGGAUUAGUAUUAUGGACGAUUUUAGAUGUCUCGCCUUCAAAAAGAUGACUCAGCAUCAUCCGAUGGAAGGGCGCCUGGACCAAGGACGUGAUCGGAUGUGGUCGGGGACGUGACAGGUGUUGGUCCAAUGUUUUGUGUUGUGUCUUAUUGUUUAGAACAUUAUGUCUGGGAAAAACCCUCCUAUUUUCAAAUAAAUGCAGGAGCGACGGGAGAGAUUGUUUAGAGCGUGUUGAGAGGCUGUGAU